GACGAACGCUGGCGGCGUGCUUUAUACAUGCAAGUCGAACGAUGAAGUUCCUUCGGGAAUGGAUUAGUGGCGAACGGGUGAGGAACACGUGAGAAACCUGCCUUUCAUUCUGGGAUAACACCGGGAAACCGGUGCUAAUACCGGAUACUCCGUCUUGGCGGCAUCGCCGAGCCGGGAAAAAAUUUUGAUGAAAGAUGGUCUCGCGGCCUAUCAGCUAGUUGGUGAGGUAAAGGCUCACCAAGGCGACGACGGGUAGCCGGCCUGAGAGGGCGACCGGCCACACUGGGACUGGGACACGGCCCAGACUCCUACGGGAGGCAGCAGUAGGGAAUAUUGGGCAAUGGGCACAAGCCUGACCCAGCGACGCCGCGUGAGGGAUGAAGGUCUUCGGAUUGUAAACCUCUUUCAGUAGGGAAGAAGCGAAAGUGACGGUACCUAAAGAAGAAGCACCGGCUAACUAUGUGCCAGCAGCCGCGGUAA
rnacentral:rRNA from 1 species